UGCAAUACUGAAUGGAUAAAGGUCAUGAAAUUUGAGGAAGGAGGGAGGAAUUUGAUGAGUGAUAUUUCCCUGGCCAGGAUCACACCCAGGCUGGAGAGACAAGUGGAAACCCCUAGGCACUCUGACCAUGACCAUGCUCACUCUGUACAGGGGGGUCACAGCUUCUCUGACCCAGUCCCAGGUCUAUAAACAGAGAUCUCUGCGGCGGGGAAGAAGCAGCUUCCUCCCCUUCAUCAGACAUCACCUGGGAACCCAACCUUGCUGGGACAGCUCACUGUCGCUGGCUUGGCCAGGCUCACUGUCUUUUUGUCUCUCAGUCUUGCUCACUCUUUUAUUCUCUCUGCCAAUCACAGAAGGCCCGCCUUGCCAGGAUCCGUGUGGCCAAAACAGGGAGCUCCAAUGCCUACCUGCACAGCAAGCGCAACGGACUCCUCAACGAGGCACUGGAGCUGAUGGGCACCCCGGAAGAGGAGCACAUGGGCAAGACCACCUCACUCAUCGAGAGCCAGCACCACCACCUGCUGCACUGCCUGGAGAAAACCACUGUGAGUCCCAGCCCAGUGCCACCUCCCUUCUCAUCCCAGACCCCUGACCCUUUUCUGAGGUCAGAACUUACAGAGUGAGAACUCUGUCCUCACGUUCUCACCCCAGGCUUCAGAAGUCAAAGUUUGUCCCCUUAUAUCCAAAGAGUAGCAAUGAGGUCUCUAUCAGCCCUCAGGAGGAAGACCCCAAGGAGUGGGGCAAAGCCACCAGGGUCAGGAGGCCCGCAGCACAGAGGAGGCCAUUCCCCCAGUCUUUCCACACACACCCUACAUCCGUCCUCACAGCCCAUUUCUUAGUUACUGAGGCCUAGGGGCUCUGCCUAUCAGUUUCUCAGCUCUGAUGAGCACCCCUCUUCAGAGCUACGGCUGAAUUUAUACUAGGUUACUACAGGACAGCAGAGAAGAAUGUCAGUUUUUGUCCUAUCCCUGGGGCUAGGUUGAUGCAAUCUGUGGGUCCCUUUUCUCCUUCCAUUCCACUUGGAACAGGAGAGAGUGAAUGAACGAAGCCGUGCAUAUAUUUCUCUAGCCACGGAUUUUACCAGUACCACCCCAUCUCAGUCACCCUGCAAUUCCCAGGGAAUUCAGAUUCUGAAAGGCUGAUUGCUAAAAAUGAGUCAUGGCUUAGGGUGCCCCAGCUGGAAUGUGGAAUGAUGCUUGUGCCUCACCAACAGACUGAAAGGAAGGGCAGUGGGGUCAACCCUGGAGCCUUGGCAAAAGCGUUAGGAAUAGUAGGGAGGGAGGAGAAGUUAGGCUGGACAACCAAAGAGAGACAAAGAGAAACUCCCUCUUGUUCUUUUCUAGGACCUCCUUCCCCAAAAAGGCUAUGGUCAGGGCUCAGCACACUAAGGAAGGAACUUUCUAAUUUUCAGUGUUCCAUAUCCUGGCCUCCCAAAUGUGGGGGAAGUAGAUGUUAGGUGACUCUUAGUAUGGACAGCUGUGGACGCUGUGGAUGGCAGCUGAACCCAGUGAGGGCUUCCACUGUGGGAAGGUACUCUGAAAACCCUAGUUUCCAAAACUUAGCCAAUGUUUCUUAGUGUCAAGAACCGUACAGGUGUAUCUAGAAUUUCUCUCAAAGACUCAGAGCUUGCCAAAGAAAUAGGCCUGGACCCAACUGCCCUUUCCAAGUUGCAUGUGCUGGGUGGAAUGUGUAAGUUGAAAGGAUAUGGGUGAAAAUAUUUGGGUUUGAAGAGAUGGAAUGUUGGCAUUGAAGGGGUGGAAUGCUGAAUUUGAAGGAAAGAAUGUCGGAUUGUGGGGAUAUUGGGAUUAAAGAGAUGGAAUGCUGCAUUUUAGGCAAGGAAUGUUGGAUUCAAGGGAUGGAAUGUUGGGACAAAGGAGGAAGAAUGCUGGAAGCAAGGGAUGGAAUGUUGGACUGGAAGGGUGGAAUGCUGGGAUUGAGAGAUCGAAUGUCAAAACUGAGCCUGGGAAUGCUGGAAUGUACAAUCAAUGGUGUUUUUAUCUUCUGUUGGCAUGUUGUCCUGUAGGGGUUGUCCUAUCUUGUGGAUGAUCCCCUGUUAUCUGUACGAACCUCCACCAUCAAGGUAUAACUUUUUAAAAUUUCAAUUGAUGUUUUUCUCUCUGAUUCUUCUGAGUCUGUGGAGUCUCCUCUUCUUACCCCCGGUCUGGUUCUCUGCAUGUGCUCUUGAUUCUUCUUGGGCUUAUCCUAACUCUGCUUAUCCUACCCAGUACCAGCUCAGGCUUCCAGUUUUUUUGUGCCUUUCUGAUUCCCUUUUUUGACCUCUCCAGGGGCUUGGAGGGGUGGCGGAACAUGGAACCAAUGUUGGUACCUUGUGAGUGUCCAUGUGCCACAUCUGUCUGUGCCACCCGCCCAGCCCUAUGGGGACUCCUGGUAUCGGCUGUCAGGGCUGGUCUCUCUCUGAACUCUGUUCUCAUGCUACUUCUCCUCAGACUUUCUCCUCACUCUGGCAGCCUUGGCCAGACCAUUCAUGGCAUAGAUGUUUAGUCACCUUGGCUAAACAGCCAUAUGUUAGUUAUCCUGGGCUCCACUCCACCCCAUCCUGGUGGCCUCCAUCAGGAGUCUGUUAGCAUCCCCUUCCCAUGCUUACACUUGACUUAGGGAAUCCUGUGCCUUUAGGUAUAUUAAGGAGCCAUACCCCAUAACCAGGUGGAAAAAACCCAGUACUCAAAAGCAAUCAUAACCCUGAGUGUGUGACCGCAUUGGCCUUCCAGAGCAAAGCUCUCCCAAUACUGUGAAUAAUCCAGUGCCUUUAAAAGCUUAUGUCUCACACUUGCCCAGGAUUCAUAAGGAUCUCACCCAGUAAAUCCAGAAAAGACAACCCAGCGUACCCACUACCCAUUGUUAGUGACUCCUUACCUGCCGCUCCCUGCCCCCCGCCACCAGAAGAUCCUGUCAAAGCCUGCAAAGUCCGUCAAGUCUUUGCUUCUAACUCUGAGGAUGCCACUAAGUCCCUCCAUGUCCUCCGUAUCCCUUCAGCCAAAGCUGUAGACGAAGUGAAUGUCACAUCAUGAUUUCACAACCGCAGUCUCCGCCCUCCAGUCUGAUGACCAGGGCUGUCAAUGGUAAUCUCCUCCUUCCUUCAUUUGAUGCCUGUAGGAUAUCCCCCAUGUCCUGAAUGCUUAUCUGUGCUCCAGGCAGCUGGGAGCCCUUCUCCCAAGGCCCAGAACAGAGACAGGCAGCUAUACAGGGUACGGGGGCUUAUCCCCGCCCCCGCCUCCUCCUAUCUCCUUCUCCUACCUCUUCUCCCUCUGCUUCCCACAGAACCACGAGUUUAUAGAUGAACAGAUGUUUGAGCAGAACUGCAUGGAGAGUUCAAUGCAGAACUACCCAUCCACACGGAGUCCCUCACUGUCCAGCCACCCGGGCCUCACGACCACCUGCUGCUCCCGUCGUAGUAAGAAAACCACACACCUGCCCAACUCCAACCUACCGGCCACCCGCCUGCGCAGCAUGCAAGAGCUCAGCACGAUCCACAUCCAGGGCAGCGAGCAGCCCUCCCUCACUACCAGUCGUUCCAGCCUUAAUUUGAAAGCAGACGACGGACUGAGACCAAACUGCAAAACAUCCCAGAUCACCACAGCCAUCAUCAGCAUUCCUACUCCCCCA